rnacentral:rRNA from 1 species
CAGCAGCCACGGUAAUACGUAGGUCCCGAGCGUUGUCCGGAUUUAUUGGGCGUAAAGCGAGCGCAGGCGGUUAGAUAAGUCUGAAGUUAAAGGCUGUGGCUUAACCAUAGUACGCUUUGGAAACUGUUUAACUUGAGUGCAAGAGGGGAGAGUGGAAUUCCAUGUGUAGCGGUGAAAUGCGUAGAUAUAUGGAGGAACACCGGUGGCGAAAGCGGCUCUCUGGCUUGUAACUGACGCUGAGGCUCGAAAGCGUGGGGAGCAAACAGGAUUAGAGACCCCAGUAGUCCCUGUCUCUUAUACC